GGAAGCUUGCUUCCUAUGGACUCUAGUGGCAAACGGGUGAGUAACGCGUAAGCAACCUGCCCUCCGGAUGGGGACAACAGCUGGAAACGGCUGCUAAUACCGAAUACGUUUUCACUGCCGCAUGGCAGUGGGAAGAAAGGUGGCCUCUGAAUAUGCUACCGCCGGGGGAGGGGCUUGCGUCUGAUUAGCUAGUUGGAGGGGUAACGGCCCACCAAGGCGACGAUCAGUA
rnacentral:rRNA from 1 species